AAUGAACGCUGGCGGCAUGCCUUGCACAUGCAAGUCGAACGGCAGCAUGACCUAGCUUGCUAGGUUGAUGGCGAGUGGCGAACGGGUGAGUAAUGCAUCGGAACGUGCCUUUUAGUGGGGGAUAACGUAGCGAAAGUUACGCUAAUACCGCAUAUUCUCUGAGGAGGAAAGCAGGGUACCUUCGGGCCUUGCGCUAGAAGAGCGGCCGAUGUCGGAUUAGCUAGUUGGUGGGGUAAAGGCUCACCAAGUCAACGAUCCGUAGCGGGUCUGAGAGGAUGAGCCGCCACACUGGGACUGAGACACGGCCCAGACUCCUACGGGAGGCAGCAGUGGGGAAUUUUGGACAAUGGGCGCAAGCCUGAUCCAGCCAUGCCGCGUGAGUGAAGAAGGCCUUCGGGUUGUAAAGCUCUUUUGGCUGGGAAGAAAUCGCACCCUCUAAUACAGGGUGUGGAUGACGGUACCAGCAUAAGAAGCACCGGCUAACUACGUG
rnacentral:rRNA from 1 species